AGCGGUGGAGAGGGCAUGGUCGUUAUUAUUGCUACUGAUUAUAAUGGCGUUGGUCCCGGGUAGAACUACCCUUCCAACUCUCUCAACCCUCCCAAACACACGUUACGUGGCGCAUUUAUUUCACGCGAGUAAUGAUGAUAUCGACGGGAGCGUUGAAGGGCUUACGGCCAAGCCUAGGUCGAAUCUGCUAUUCAGUUUGAAACCGGAGCUCAUCCAAGUCAGCUCACCAGCAGUAAGCCUCCACCGUGUAGUGUACGCGUGUGUGUUUUUGGAAGCUCGUACGAAACGUUUUGCGCAACAAACAAUGCGCAAAAUGCAUCGCUCGUUCGUCAAUGUGCUGCAGCUGGUGCUGCUGGUGGCGGUAAUGGUGUUACUAAGUGAUUUAUCAAGCGUUUCCGGCGCUUCUAGCAAUCCGCUAGCAGAUGACGAGGAGGUGACAAACGCUACGAUGGGUAUUGUGGAAAGUGUAUCCACUGCCCGUGCCGCCAUGGAACGCUUCAAGCAGAGCGUCCCAAGUGUGGACUAUCUGCAGCUGGCCACAGCCGGGCUGCAGGAAUAUGUGGCCAAUGUUACUGGGAGGUUCGAGGCAACGUUUAAAGACUUCACCACGCGUGAGCUCGAAUCGGUACAGCACGCACUGAUCGAAACGAUCCGCUACCUGAACGGGUACGAGUCCGUCAACUCGAUCUCGAUGCUGCAAAACCUCGACUACAGCAUGUACAACCACAACCUGCUGCGCUCGAUCAACAGUGAUUUGCGGAUCGCAUCGAUCAGUCUGUCGGAGGCGUUGUUUGAGCAGCGCGACGUGAGCGUGGCGGUGGAUGACAUCUUUGCCGCAACGGAUAAGCUGCAGGAAAAUGUGAUCCGACUGGCGGACGUUAUAGAGAAAGGAGAAGCCUGGACGGUGGAAACCAAUGCACGGGCCCUGGCCGCCCAGCAAGGGUUCAACGAAUCGAUCGACCAGUACCUGAACGGGUCACUGACGCAGGUGGAAGAUAUCGUAACGGCGCUGGAUGAUUUGCGCACCUACGAGGAGGAUAUGUACCGGCGGUUUAAGGAGAAGAUCUCGAUCACCUUCCCAAAAUCCACCACCAACUACUUUAUCGCGCUGAAGAAAGCGCUCGAAAAUACGAUCCAGAAGAUACGCAUCAACUUUGAGAAUCUGAAGCUCUACAAGCACCGAGACAUUGAGCAGUGGCAGUCGCGUGGUUCCAUCACCGCCCCAAUCGGUUACAUGACGCAGGUGGCGGUGCAGGUCGCAUCCGAUCCGAUGCUCUCGAACGAUUGCACCGAGUCGUACAUCGACAAGGUGCUCACAUUCCCGAACUUUACGCUCGCUCACGUGAACGGCUGCCUGGCGGAGCAGACGGCAAGCGAGGAGAAAACGUUCGCGAUCAUCGCGCAACUGCUCGACACGUACGUGGUCGGGGCGAUCAAUGCGUCGUACGGUGCGUUUGACAUCUGCUUCCGGUAUGCGCCGCGCAAGCUUAACCAGUGUUUGGAGUUGAACGGUUACGAAAACAAUUGGGCUAAUGGAAGAAUCUAUAAUGCGGCGAAACAGGUGGAAUCGUUGGUGGAUAGUGAGAUACAGCACAACUUCAAUGCGUGUGUAGCGCAGAACGGGUACUUCCUGAACUAUCACAACAUUCAGGAGAUGUGCAUCUACAGCAAGAAACGAACGCGCUAUCGUAAUCGGUGGACAAAGAAGUAGUGGUUCAACAUUGCCCCAUUCAAUAAAGUUAUGCCUUGCGAAUGCUA